CACGUAGUUAGCCGGUGCUUAUUCUUCAGGUACCGUCAUUAGCCAAAGGUAUUAUCCCCAGCCGUUUCUUCCCUGACAAAAGAGCUUUACAACCCGAAGGCCUUCUUCACUCACGCGGCAUUGCUGGAUCAGGCUUGCGCCCAUUGUCCAAAAUUCCCCACUGCUGCCUCCCGUAGGAGUCUGGACCGUGUCUCAGUUCCAGUGUGGCUGGUCGUCCUCUCAGACCAGCUACUGAUCGUCGCCUUGGUGAGCCUUUACCUCACCAACUAGCUAAUCAGAUAUCGGCCGCUCCAGGAGCAUGAGGUUCUUGCGAAUCCCCCACUUUCAUCCUUAGAUCGUAUGCGGUAUUAGCGUAACUUUCGCUACGUUAUCCCCCACUCUUGGGUACGUUCCGAUAUAUUACUCACCCGUUCGCCACUCGCCGCCAGGUUGCCCCGCGCUGCCGUUCGACUUGCAUGUGUAAAGCAUGCCGCCAGCGUUCAAUCUGAGCCAGGAUA
rnacentral:rRNA from 1 species